rnacentral:rRNA from 1 species
GAUGAACGCUGGCGGCGUGCCUAAUACAUGCAAGUCGAGCGAACAGAUGAGGAGCUUGCUCCUCUGACGUUAGCGGCGGACGGGUGAGUAACACGUGGAUAACCUACCUAUAAGACUGGGAUAACUUCGGGAAACCGGAGCUAAUACCGGAUAAUAUAUUGAACCGCAUGGUUCAAUAGUGAAAGACGGUUUUGCUGUCACUUAUAGAUGGAUCCGCGCCGCAUUAGCUAGUUGGUAAGGUAACGGCUUACCAAGGCAACGAUGCGUAGCCGACCUGAGAGGGUGAUCGGCCACACUGGAACUGAGACACGGUCCAGACUCCUACGGGAGGCAGCAGUAGGGAAUCUGCCGCAAUGGGCGAAAGCCUGACGGAGCAACGCCGCGUGAGUGAUGAAGGUCUUCGGAUCGUAAACUCUGUUAUUAGGGAAGAACAAAUGUGUAAGUAACUAUGCACGUCUUGACGGUACCUAAUCAGAAAGCCACGGCUAACUACGUG